rnacentral:lncRNA from 1 species
AAUUUAUUAACCAGUUCCACGUACAUGUCGACCAUUUCAUCAGGACUUCUGAAUGUUCCAGCUCCAGCAGUCUCAUCAUUUCUUUUUGAAUGUCCAGAGCUCUUUCUAUGCCCUGAAAUUAAACAUCGUCAUUCUUCAAAAGAAAGAUAAAUUACUUCAUUCUUACUGCUUGAAUCAGAGCACUUCUAAACACAGACCUCAAUAUAAAGUCUCUAAAG